AAUUUAUUAAGGAAAAAUGAAAAUGGAAACAUAUAAUUAAAAAUGGCAGAACCAGAUAUAAAAAAUCUUAUCUAAUAAUUAAUAAAUCUAAAAAGUAGCACGAGAAAGGAAACAAAUUUCGAAAAUCAAUGGGUUAUGUGAAUAAAAGGAACACAAUAUAAUAUUUGUUUUGGAAA
rnacentral:sRNA from 1 species